rnacentral:lncRNA from 1 species
ACCUCAUAGUGUAUUUGUUAUGAAUAAAACGAACAAGAUAAAUAAUUUGUGUUAUAACUUUAUGUAUUAUGUUAUGAAAUUAUGUUAUCUAAAUCAUGUUUAGAGAUUGACUAUCAGGAUCAGAGAACUAUUAGUUCGUCAGUUGCCCGUGUGUAGACAUCAAUAGUAAUUGGGUAGUAGGAAUCCACUGAGACGAAGUGACUGUCUCAUCCCCCACUUAUUUGAUUUCAGAUAAACAGGUUGAUCAAGAUAUCAUGGUCUGCAAGCAUGGAGUUCAGAUACUUGGAUUAUGCUAGUUGAGCUGACGUCAUGUUAUCUUAUAUUUGUAUAAGAUUUAAUUUCUUUAUGUUUUCAGUUGUUAGCUCAAUUUAGUAUUAAUCUCUUGGAUUUUGUAAUCCUAUUUAUGUAUUCGGACAAUAUGUAAUGAAAAUUUAAUGUUUCCCGAUUCAGUUAUGUACACUCUUAUCGAUAUUCUAGAUAAAUUGAUGUGGGGUGUUAUAAUUGCUUUUUUAGUAGCAGAAGGAGUAGUACCAACAAAUACCGAUAUGACAGAAGGAUUGUAAGCGCUAUGCGAUAAGGAGUUUUUUUUAUUAGUCGGUAGUGAUAUUCAAGCUUAUACAUUAAGAUAACCUCGUAACAACAGUCGGUGUAUCAUGUUCCAGUGUGUACCCAACCAGGCUAGAUACCGACCUGAGUAUGAGAUAACUGUAAGUGGUAAGAAUGGACGUGUUGCGGACAUGUAAGAUGGCAGUAAAAGUAUUAUGUAUACAAGUGUGCGCCUAACGUCACGAAGUGAUGCAAGCAUUAUUUUGUGAUGUCUACGGUACGAGUAGUAAUAACAAUAGGAGGAAACGCUGCUUAAGAUGAGAUGAUGUGUGAUAGUGUCCGGGAAUUGGUAGACCAAAGUUGUAUGACACAAAUAAAAGAUGACAGUAAGUAAUUGAUAUCAGAGUGCGCAGCUAGUACUUGGUAAGAAUGUAAUCAACAGAUUGGCUUGUAGGCCAACAACUCUUUGAUAGGGGAAAGUUUAUUCCAAGGAAUUGAAUGUGGAAAACGGUAAGAUGAUUAAAAGAAUGUAUGACGAGUAAGUUACACAUAUGUUCAAUACUUGAAUCUGAGAUUGUUAGUCAUGGAGUAUGAUCGAGAGUAAAGAUUGUGAAGGGAAAACAGUUCAACUGAGAAGUUGAUCGCGAUGUCGUGGUCAGCAAGCAUGAAGACCCAGAUACGUGGAGUACGAUUUGGAGCCGAUGUUAUGUUUAUCUUAUAUCUUGUAUAAGAUUCAGAUUAUUUAUGUUUAGUUGUUGGCUCAAAUUUGCAUUCACUUCUUGGAUUUUGUAAUCCUAUUCAUGUGUUUGAUCUUUAUGUAAUGAAAAUUUAAUGUUUU